AAGACCCGCAAAACUUUAAUAUGCAUCUGUUAAUUGCAACUCAACUGCUUUAAUUAAGCUAGAGUCUC
rnacentral:tRNA from 1 species